UACGAAGGGGGGCUAGCGUUGCUCGGAAUCACUGGGCGUAAAGCGCACGUAGGCGGAUCUUUAAGUCAGGGGUGAAAUCCCAAGGCUCAACCUUGGAACUGCCUUUGAUACUGGGGAUCUCGAGUCCGGAAGAGGUUGGUGGAACUGCGAGUGUAGAGGUGAAAUUCGUAGAUAUUCGCAAGAACACCAGUGGCGAAGGCGGCCAACUGGUCCGGUACUGACGCUGAGGUGCGAAAGCGUGGGGAGCAAACAGGG
rnacentral:rRNA from 1 species